GACGAACGCUGGCGGCGUGCUUAACACAUGCAAGUCGAACGGAAAGGCCCUGCUUGCAGGGUACUCGAGUGGCGAACGGGUGAGUAACACGUGGGUGAUCUGCCCUGCACUUCGGGAUAAGCCUUGGAAACUGGGUCUAAUACCGGAUAGGAGCCAUUUUUAGUGUGAUGGUUGGAAAGUUUUUUCGGUGUAGGAUGAGCUCGCGGCCUAUCAGCUUGUUGGUGGGGUAAUGGCCUACCAAGGCGGCGACGGGUAGCCGGCCUGGGAGGGUGGGCGGCCACAUUGGGACUGAGAUACGGCCCAGACUCCUACGGGAGGCAGCAGUGGGGAAUAUUGCACAAUGGGCGCAAGCCUGAUGCAGCGACGCCGCGGGGGGGAUGACGGCCUUCGGGUUGUAAACUCCUUUCGCUAGGGACGAAGCUUUUUGUGACGGUACCUAGAUAAGAAGCACCGGCUAACUACGUG
rnacentral:rRNA from 1 species